rnacentral:lncRNA from 1 species
CUUUUUUCUCUCUCUUUUCUCUCCCUGUUUCUCUGAAAGGUGUGUCUGCACAUCUGGCGAGAGUUCUUCUCUUUGCGUUAGCUAGAGCAGAGAUUUGGGAGGCGGAGAGGCAGACAGAUCGCCGGAGAACAGAGCAGAACGAGAGAAGAAAGGAAAGGCUCAAGACGCUUUGCGGGGGUCUCUGGAGAUGCCGCCGAUCUCGCCAGCGUCGUCUUGAAAAAUCGCGAAAAUGUCUUUUUCUCGUCUUCGCAAAUGCUGAGGUGUCUGUGAAAGAGAUGAAGGAACUGUGGAGUUUCCAAGGGAUUUCUUCUCUUAAGAAGGCUCUGUAGUCUUUUCUCUCGCCUCGCAUUUAUCGUGUUGUUCACGGCGACCAACGCUGCUUCUCGUCCUCGCAUCUCAUCUGCAAGGUUUCUUUCCUUCCUCGCUUGCCCACCACUGCACUUUUAUCCCUGUAUUUCUGCCUUGCAUCUUGUCGUUUCUCUUUUCUCUCUCUCGCGCGCGCGCUCGGCGCCUCUCGAGUCCUUCCGCUCUCUGUGUCGUCUUCCUCCGCUCUGUUGGAGCUUCUUCUCCCCGUUGCGUUUUUUCCUGCUCUUCCCCAGCUUCCUCUCCCGUCAGAUCCUCUUUGUUUUGAGGUCUCCUCCUCGCUGCGCGGGCAGGCGCUGCUCUGCAUGCAGGCUUCCGGACAUUCCUCGCCUGGGCCAGAGAAGAACACCGGAAAAAAUGAAUGCGGAGUACGCGUUUCUUUCCUUCUCGCGGGGGAACAGCUCGCCUCGUUUUUCUCGUUUCAUGCGUUUCUCUCUCUGCCCUUCCGCCCUCUCAAGCUGUGGCUCUGUCUCCCCUCCCUUCCUCUGUCUUGUUAGCCUCGCCUCCAAAGACGCAAACGCCUACAUGCGGGCAUAGUUCUGCAUGUGUAUACAGAUCUGUAUGUGGAUACAGAAGAGACCUC